CAUGCAAGUCGUACGCUAGCCGCUGAAUUGAUCCUUCGGGUGAAGUGAGGCAAUGACUAGAGUGGCGAACUGGUGAGUAACACGUAAGAAACCUGCCCUUUAGUGGGGGAUAACAUUUGGAAACAGAUGCUAAUACCGCGUAACAACAAAUCACACAUGUGAUCUGUUUGAAAGGUCCUUUUGGAUCGCUAGAGGAUGGUCUUGCGGCGUAUUAGCUUGUUGGUAGGGUAGAAGCCUACCAAGGCAAUGAUGCGUAGCCGAGUUGAGAGACUGGCCGGCCACAUUGGGACUGAGACACUGCCCAAACUCCUACGGGAGGCUGCAGUAGGGAAUUUUCCGCAAUGCACGAAAGUGUGACGGAGCGACGCCGCGUGUGUGAUGAAGGCUUUCGGGUCGUAAAGCACUGUUGUAAGGGAAGAAUAACUGAAUUCAGAGAAAGUUUUCAGCUUGACGGUACCUUACCAGAAAGGGAUGGCUAAAUACGUGCCAGCAGCCGCGGUAAUACGUAUGUCCCGAGCGUUAUCCGGAUUUAUUGGGCGUAAAGCGAGCGCAGACGGUUUAUUAAGUCUGAUGUGAAAUCCCGAGGCCCAACCUCGGAACUGCAUUGGAAACUGAUUUACUUGAGUGCGAUAGAGGCAAGUGGAAC
rnacentral:rRNA from 1 species